rnacentral:snRNA from 1 species
GUGCUCGCCUCGUGUACUAAAAUCAGAACGAUACAGAGAAGAUUAGCAUGGCCCCUGAGCCAGGAUAACACA